rnacentral:rRNA from 1 species
GUAGGGAAUAUUGGGCAAUGGAGGCAACUCUGACCCAGCCAUGCCGCGUGCAGGAUGACGGCCCUCUGGGUUGUAAACUGCUUUUAUACGGGAAGAAAAAAUACUACGUGUAGUAUACUGACGGUACCGUAAGAAUAAGGAUCGGCUAACUCCGUGCCAGCAGCCGCGGUAAUACGGAGGAUCCAAGCGUUGUCCGGAUUUAUUGGGUUUAAAGGUUGCGUAGGCGGAUCUUUAAGUCAGUGGUGAAAGCCUGCAGCUUAACUGUAGAAUUGCCAUUGAAACUGAAGAUCUUGAAUGUGGUUAAAGUAGGCGGAAUGUAUCAUGUAGCGGUGAAAUGCUUAGAUAUGAUACAGAACACCGAUAGCGAAGGCAGCUUGCUGAACCAUUAUUGACGCUGAGGCACGAAAGCGUGGGGAGCGAACAGGAUUAGAAACCCUAGUAGUCC